UUGUAUACAACAUGUAAUAUAUAUAAUGUUGUAAAAUGUCGGUUAUGAAAUAUGUAACAAGAGCAAGUAAACCUCAUAUUAAGUUAUAAAAAAUUUGAUGACAAAUUACUACAUAAUAUUGUCAUUUAAUCAUUUUAUAAUUAUCUUUGGAAAACAAACGGUAUGUUUGUUAAUAUUUUUUCUGAUUGGUGUGCAACGAAAAGUUUUAUUUUUUAUCCACCUUAAACAGGAAUCAUUCUCAGAACAAAUAUUUUUAUAACUAUUGUCUUUGAGUAUACAUCUGAUAUCAUUUUUUAACAGAUCUGUUUAAACAAUUAAAAAUAUGGACGAACAUUCAUAUGUAUCAUGUAUUAAAAUUAAUGGAGUUCCUAUUUUACCACCUAUGAUAACUAAAGAUAUCAGAGAAGAAAUGCUUCAUUAUAAACAAAGCGCCAUAAAUAUAGAAAAAAAGUUAAUAACUUUACGUGCUGCCAAAAAAUUUAAUAAUUACAAUGUUCAUAGAGAAAAUGCCAGAAAUGAAUCUGAAGAUACACAGUUCAGAGAAGAAGAAUACAGUUCUAAAGAAGACUUAGUUCCUGUUGAAUCUAAGAAUACUAAUUUUAGCCAGACUGAUGUUCCAAUAGAAAUCUCUGAAAAUUCUAAUGGAGAUAUAGAGAAAACUUUACAGCAUAGUAAAGAAUUAAAUACCAAAUAUAAGUUAGGAGAACAAAUGAAUUUAGCUUCUAAUAGCACAUUAAGGUCAGAACUGCUUACAAUUACUAAUAGUAUGAAUCAUUACUCAAAGGAAGCAGUUUCUGCAAAGUCAGAAAUUGAUUUAGUAUCAAAUGCUUGGAAACCUCAAGUGCCUAAAACUUUGAAUAUUGUUCCAUUGAUAUUAAAUGAUUCUAAUAGUAGAAAGAAUGAACAACAUGAAGAAAAUGAGUUAGACAAUAUAGAAGAUACGCCUAAGUUAGUGCGUCAGGGUUCUUAUGUAUUAGAUGCUCCAAGUCCUAUAUUACUAGCACAUAUGCAAAUGGAAUUAGCUAGUUCAACAUGUACUCCUUGUUCGGAAUAUAUUCCAACGUCAUAUCCGAGUACAGUACGUCGGAAGGAGUGGAAUAUUGCACAAGCUAAGAUUGAAUGGGAGCAUGAUGCUAAACAUAAAGAAUCUUUUCCUAUGGAAUCUUUGAAACAUUUAUCAACACCGAAAAGAAGCGGCUAUUCUAAUAGUGGUCAUACUAUACGUAAAUCAUAUUCAUUACAAACAAAGCCAAAACCGUCAUCUGUAUCUACUUACUCAUCUACAAGGUCUGCUGAUUGUAUUCAAACAAUGUUAGCGCAAGAACGUAUAAAUAGAAACAAUAUACAAAUGAAUUCUGAUAAAGCAUCCAAUGUAUAUAGCAGCAAUGAAAAAAAAUCUAGGUUCCAAAAAUGGAGGAAAUGUAACAGUUUUUCCACCUUUAAUUCAGCAAAUGGAUUCGGUGGUUCCUUGGAAAAUUUAGAUAAUAAUAAUGUAUCUUCUACGUGUUCAGAGAGUCAAUAUAAUAAUGUUUCUGCGAGAAACAACUUCGCAUCCGAAAUUUCAAAAAAUAUUGAUAUACAGCAAUCUGUGCCACAAUCAAAAUCUUCCACUGCAACUGAUAAACUUUUGACAGUUUAUAAGAAGGUACAAGAAAUGCAUAAAAAACAAAUGGCUGAACUAAUGUUUCGUCAACAGAGAGAACAAACGUUGCUUCAACAAGAAUUUGAGAAACAACAAUUACUUUUACUAAAUGAGAUUAGAAAGUCAUUUCCAGAACUUUCAGUUCCAUUACUUUCGGAAAACAUUUCAUCCCCUGUUUUUAAAGAGACUACACCUAACAAUGAAAAGUUCUUUGAAUACAUUGAUGAUAAUACACAAAAUACAAAAAUUGUAGAAAAUACUUUGCAACAAGAAAAUGGAAUAGAGCAUUUACACGAUGAUAAUACGAAAGUGGUUGUCUGUCCACUAGAUUAUAUUUACUCUGCAGUGAGUCACGAUACAAAUCCUUGUCCAGUUAAAAAUUCGUGUCCAAUUCAACCAUUGGAAGUAAAAUCAUCACCAAAAAUUGAUAAUUUUGUAUCAGAAGAAAAGGAAUCGGAAAUUGAAAUAAAUAAUGUAAAAAAUUAUGAAAACGAAUUAAUAAAAGACAUUAAUGGCUGUAAACGUUCUAAUGUUAGCCGACAAUUGUUUCCUUUAAAUAGUAAAACUACUCAUGUUCCGAUUCUUGAAAGAACAAUGUAUGGAACUAAACAUGUAAAGGCAAUAAAUAUAAUCAAUGCAUAUGCGAGAGGAUAUUUGGUACGUAGAAUAAUGCGGACGGAGCGUGUCAUUGCUUUAAAAAAUACAUAUAAAGAAGCUUUACAUUGUAUGCUUAAACUUCAUGUUGAUGCACCUCUCAAUCGAUCAGAAUUUAAUUUUCUACAACGUCUUCAAUUACAGGAUGGAGGAAUAUCAGCCAGUUUCGUUUGUUCGUACAUGUUUAUCUAGAUCUAGGUGUCAAACUUGGACUUCCGAUGUUAAAGAAAAACUAAUCUCUCCAAAUAUUUUAUAUCAUAGUAUUAAAAGAAGUACUAGUGCUGGGACUGUACGUAAACCAUGGCGGUAAAAUUAUAAUAGUGCCUUUUAUUAUUAAUUUUGUUACAUCAAAUA
rnacentral:misc_RNA from 1 species